CGAAAAAUGGCGAGAUUUCUUUAAUACUUCAUUACAGAUUGUAUAAAAGAAUAAACAUCUGGUGGUAGUCGCUGAGAUAGAAAGGUGGACCAGUGUUUAUUUAAAAAUAGAAGAAAAUACAGUACUUCAAUACACCUGGAGUCAAUCUGGAGUAAGGAAGAAAACCAGUGUACUGCGUAUUAGCUGGAGGGAGCAGGCAUGAAAAGAAUAGGAAGAUUAUGACACGAAUGUUGGAAUACGAAAAGAUGAAUUCAUGCUAAAUGCAUUUUCUCCCAGUGGAAACAUUUCCAGGUCGACAGUAAGCAGGAGGUCCAUAUAUGAAGGAAAUGGAAAGAAAAUUCCUUGGGCAUGAUUCUGCCUUUCUUAUAAAUACGAAUGGAAUUGUGAUGUGAAUUUGUUUUUACUUUCUUUGGUUGUAUGUCUCCAUCUGGUCGGCUGAGCAUCCGGAUCCCAUGCCUCAUCAAGUUUUGUUUCAUGUUAUCUCAUUAACUCCAACCGCACUUCCCCCUUUGUUAACUUGAUUACAUCUCAACAGUAAGUGCGUGUCCAAAAUU